CUCUCGCAGGGCGCCGCGGCUAAUGGAACCCGCGCGAGGCGUCGGGCCAAUCAGCGCCGCGCUUCCUUCGGCCGCCGGCCAAUGGCGGCGCGCGUUCUUGGGGCGUGGGCGAAGCAGGCUGCUUUCCUUGGCUGUCGUGUGUGGGCUGGGGUUGGUGCGGGCUGCACUUGGUCCGCAGUUCUGCGCCGGGGGCUUUUGUGUCCGCCUUUUGCUUUGCUUUCUGUGCGCGUUUUUGUUUUUUUUUUCUUUCCUCCGCGCGCUGCUCCCCAGCGGAAGCCGUGAGGCUCGGAGGCAGCAGCCCUCACCCCAGGCGAGGAGCGAUCGCGCAGCUUGAGCACCGGAGUGACGGCUGCGGGGAAGGGGGUUCGCCGCCGAGAUGCCGGAGUUCCUGGAAGACCCCUCGGUCCUGACGAAGGAGAAGUUGAAGAGUGAGUUGGUGGCCAACAAUGUGACGCUCCCGGCGGGGGAGCAGCGCAAAGACGUGUACGUGCAGCUCUACCUGCAGCACCUCACGGCGCGCAACCGGCCGCCGCUCGCCGCCGGCGCCAACAGCAAAGGGCCCCCGGACUUCUCCAGCGACGAGGAGCGCGAGCCCACCCCGGUCCUCGCCGCCGCGGGCCGCGGCCGCGCCGCCGUCGGCAGGAAAGCCACAAAGAAAACUGAUAAACCCAGACUAGAAGAUAAAGAUGACUUAGACGUAACUGAACUCACUAAUGAAGAUCUUCUGGAUCAGCUUGUGAAAUAUGGGGUGAAUCCUGGCCCUAUUGUGGGAACAACCAGGAAACUAUAUGAGAAAAAGCUGUUGAAAUUGAGGGAACAAGGAACAGACUCAAGAUCUUCUACUCCUUUCCCAACAAUUUCUUCUUCAGCAGAAAAUACAAGACAGAAUGGAAGUAAUGAUUCUGACAGAUACAGUGACAACGAAGAAGGAAAGAAGAAAGAACACAAGAAAGUGAAGUCCACUAGGGAUUUUGUUCCUUUUUCUGAACUUCCAACUACUCCCUCUGGUGGAUUUUUUCAGGGUAUUUCUUUUCCUGAAAUCUCCCCCCGUCCUCCUUUGGGCAGGACUGAACUACAGGCAGCUAAGAAAGUGCAUUCUUCUAAGGGAGACCCACCUAGGGAACCUCUUAUUGCCACAACCUUGCCUGGCAGGGAACAGUUGCACAAGUUAGCCUCUGGAGGGAAUUUGUUUAUUUCCUCCAGUUCUAGCCAUGAUAGACGUUUAGAGAAAAGUUCUUCGACAUCUUCUCAGCAUGAACUCGCUGCCAUGUUGGUCUCUGCUGCAGCUUCUCCUUCACUGAUUAAAGAAACCACCACUACUUGCUAUAAAGACAUAGGAAAUAUUUACUGUGGAGAGAAAAGUGGAAUUCAACCAUUUUGUACUGAGAGGUCCCAUGGUUCAAGUCAGUCGAUUCUGUCCAGUAAAAGGAAAACACUAGAAGAGUCUGAGAGAUCACAAGUAAUUUCUCCACCACUUGCUCAGGCAAUCAGAGAUUAUGUCGAUUCUCUGUUGGUCCAGAGUGGGGUUGGUAGUUUGCCUGGAACUUCUAACACUACACCCUCACUGGAUAUAGAAAACAUAUGGAAGAGAAUUGAUCAAUCUAAUUUUCAAGAAACCGAAUCUCUGUCUCCUCCACGAAAAUUGCCUAGACUGAGUAAAAAGUUAGGAGAGGAAAAGGAUUCAGGUUCCUUUGUGGAAUUUCAAAAUAUACGUGGCUCUGAAUCCAUGUCUUCUUUUGCUACAACUGUUGUCUCUCACUCACUUGCUACCUUAGGCAUAGAGAUGUCUAAGCAAUCACAGCAUGAUAAAGUAGAUGCCUCAGAACUAUCUUUUCCUUUCCACGAAUCUAUUUUAAAAGUAAUUGAAGAGGAGUGGCAGCAAAUUGACAGGCAGCUGCCUUCAUUGGCAUGCAAGUAUCCAAUAUCUUCCAAAGAGGCAACACAGAUAUUAUCAGUUCCAAAAGUAGAUGAUGAAAUCCUGGAGUUUAUUUCUGAAACCACUCCACCAGCAGGUAUUCAGGUAGCUUCAACUGAUAAACAGUUGGACUCAGCACUUUGUAGAGCAUAUGAAGCUGCAGCAUCAGCAUUGCAGGUUGCAACCCAUACCGCCUUUGUAGUUCGGGCUAUGCAGGCUGACAUUAGUCAGGCUGCACAAAUUCUUAGCUCAGAUCCUAGUGGUAGCCACCAGGCACUUGGGAUUCUGAGCAAAACAUAUGAUGCAGCCUCGUUUCUUUGUGAAGCUGCAUUUGAUGAAGUAAAGAUGGCUGCCCAUACCAUGGGAUCUUCCACUUUAGGUCGCCGUUAUCUCUGGUUGAAGGAUUGCAAAAUUAAUCCAGCUUCUAAGAAUAAGCUGGCUGUUACUCCCUUUAAAGGUGGAACAUUAUUUGGAGGAGAAGUAUACAAAGUAAUAAAAAAGCGUGGAAAUAAACACUAAUAAAGUUAAAAAUAAAAAUGCCCAUCUUUGAUAUAGGGAACUUCGCAGAUUUUCUAGAAAUUUAAAGUACUUUUAAAUCAAAAAAAUUUUAAGGUCUUUUUAGUUUCCAGAUGGGGCUGAUUUCAAAGUGUCAAGCUUCAACCCAUCAAAUUAUAGCCCCACUGUAAUUGCCUACAUAGAACUGCCUUUUAAAAAAGGUUGCACAGAUAGAAAUCCUGAUACAAUUUAAAGCUUUGUAGGUUACAUUUUUAUCUCAAAUCGUUCACUCCCUUCCAUAAGAUUUUACAACUCUUCAAAACUAAUUCUAUUAACUAGAAUAUAAGUAGAGUCUUCGCUGGUCUUAAUAUCUUUGUACUUUCUAUAGCUUUUCUACAUUUUUUUCUUUCAUUUUUCUCCCUUUUGUUUGUUUUUAUGUCUACAGUAUCAUUCAUAAUAUUCUAGAUUAUUGCAUCUCAGUGUGCCAGUCUUCAGACUUACUGAUCCACAGACAAGCAUGCACCAGAACUUGACUGUAGAAACACUUUUCAGAUUAAUGACUGUUUAUUUUCUUGAUAAAAUUUUAUUGAUAGAGAAAACAGUGUGCAGACCUACACUCUGUUGUGAGUGCCUCAUUUCUUCAUGGGCUGGUGGCAAACAGUUUGUUGACCACACUGAGAAACACUGCUCUAGACCAUGAUACUCUAGGAUAGUGCAUUCUCACUAUCGCUGUAGUUUAUUAGAUGAACUCCAUACUGGAAAGAUGGGAAUUUAAAAGUAACACUUUCAAGGUAUGUUGCAGUUCAUAGGUUUAAAUUCUAAAAGCAAAUUUAAGUUAGUUGGGCGGUGUGUUUUUUUAAGUCAUAAGAAAUCAUACUAUACCCCAGUAUCUUUGUGUCUAUAUAAAACAGUAUAUUAUCUUGUGUUUUCAUUUCUAUGAUUGUAAGAUGAGAGUCUAACUGUAGAGGCAUUUGAUAAUCGAACUUCUUUGUACUUUUAUGAAAAUAAUAGUAUUAAGUAUAAGCAAAAUAUGGUCCCUUGGGUACUCAUAGGCAGAUUCUUAGACUAUACAUGCCCAUCUUUGCAGCUUUCUGGGAAUAAUUUUAUUUGUUAUUUGUCUUCUGAAAUGUACAUGUAUACAUGUACCUACUAAGUGCUGUGUGACUUUAAAAAUGUAUUACUGUAGAAUGCUUCUGCAAAUUCAAUAAAGUUGUUAAAUUUGAA